rnacentral:miRNA from 1 species
AAAAAUUUUUUUAGUAAUGGAUUCAUUACUGUAUAUGUGUGUGUGUAUAUAUAUAUGUGUGUGUGUGUGUGUGUAUAUAUAUACACACACAUAUAUAUAUAUAUAUAU